rnacentral:rRNA from 1 species
ACGUAGAGUUUGAUCCUGGCUCAGGAUGAACGCUAGCGGCAGGCUUAACACAUGCAAGUCGAGGGGUAACAGGAGUGCUUGCACUCGCUGACGACCGGCGCACGGGUGCGUAACGCGUAUAGAACCUACCUUUUACUGAGGGAUAGCCUUUAGAAAUGAAGAUUAAUACCUCAUGGUAUUUUAGAUUGGCAUCGAUUUAGAAUUAAAGAUUUAUUGGUAAAAGAUGGCUAUGCGUUCUAUUAGCUAGAUGGUAAGGUAACGGCUUACCAUGGCAACGAUAGAUAGGGGCCCUGAGAGGGGGAUCCCCCACACUGGUACUGAGACACGGACCAGACUCCUACGGGAGGCAGCA